AAUACUUAUCAUUAAAAAGGCAAUUAAGGCCCAAGGUUUAGAGAUACAAUGGUUGAUAAUUGGGCUUUCGCAAGCCCAUUGGCCAGGGUAUUCAGCCUGUGGAAUGAAAUUAAACCGACAGAAAGAAAACGGAGAAGCAUAGGAGAAAGCUAGAGAGUCGGCAUCUGAUAGAACGCCGAAGAGAUCCAUCGUCUGUUUCCUCUGUGUGAUUGCUCUGUGGAGCACUUGAGAAUCUGUUCGAAGACAGAUGUUGGUGAAGCCUAUGGAGGCUGCGUUCAGGAGGGCUCCUCGGAUUGCUAAGGCCUCAGCCAUGCAAGGAGAGGAUACAUGUGUCUAAGGCUACAGAUUUGCGCGCAAGCUCUGAUGAUUCUUGGUCCAUGAAGAGCCAGGCCAAACCAGCCGAAUUUGAUUUCCAGGAGAUAGUAGAAUCAGGGAGAUCAAGAGGUCGAGGCUUGAUUGGCAAUUGGGUGACCCUUUUGGUCAAUGAGAUGUACCAGGCGAUCCAUGGGAGAAGGUUCCCUACAACCCCAGUUGGGGGAAGGUUCUUGGCGGAUUGCGAGGCCUGUAGGAUGGUGAUGAAAGCUGAGUCUGGUUGAAUGGUCAGGGCGAGGUCCAAGGCACCAUAGUCCAGAUCUCCUUCGCAAAAGUGCAGUGGAGGAGGAUGUGGUCUAGCGUCUCUGGUUCUCCGCAUCGACAACGCCUGGUGUUGUUGAGCAUACCUCUCCUUUGAAGAUUUUCAUAUCUAAAAUGUUUUAUUUCAAAUAUUAUACCAGAUCAAGUGGAUACACGAUAUAUAUAUAUGGUCAUUUUAUGUAUAGAUGGUCAUGUUUGUUUGCAAGGUGUUAGUGGCAAUAACCAGCAACAACGAUUAACAAUA